rnacentral:rRNA from 1 species
AUUGAACGCUGGCGGCAGGCCUAACACAUGCAAGUCGAGCGCGAAAGUUCUUCGGAAUGAGUAAAGCGGCGGACGGGUGAGUAAUACAUGGGAAUCUGCCUGGUAGUGGGGGACAACGUUUCGAAAGGAACGCUAAUACCGCAUACGCCCUACGGGGGAAAGGGGGGAGUCUUCGGACCCCUCGCUAUCAGAUGAGCCCA